ACCGGUGGAGUGGGUAGAGGACGAAUUUUUGCAAAUGGUCUUGGUGCAGGUGGUGGACAUGGUGGGAAAGGUGGUGAUGGAUACUAUAAUGGCACCUUCAUUAAUGGCGGUGUUGCGUAUGGUGAUCCCAAUCUCCCUUGUGAACUUGGCAGUGGUAGUGGAAAUGGUAGUCUUGCUGGCGAAACAGCAGGUGGUGGGAUUAUUGAUAAUUGAAGUGAUAUCGGGUUGAAAGCUAAGCGAUUGUGUAGAAAUGGUCAAGCGACCGUUGAAAAUUGAAGACUGAGAAGGCAUUUAGGAUUUUUAAUUAUUUAAUUCUUGUAUUAGAAUCUUUUUUCAUGUACUAUUGUAGAAUGUAUAUAUAAACAUAAUAUUAAUAUUUUA